GGCAACUUGGCCGAGCGGUUAAGGCGCUAGUUUCAGGUUAUCAUGUGACUUACUAGUUCGAAAGAGCGAGAGUUCGAAUCUCUCAGUUGUCAU
rnacentral:tRNA from 1 species